CUACAGCCCAGUGAUGCCACGGAAUGUGAACUCCAAAAAGGCGAAUCCUCGUUUGCUGUUUCCCUCUGGUGCCUUUCUGCAGCCUCGGAUUGUGAUAACUGUCUCUAAACACUGCCAGAUGUCUCCUGGGGGCCAGAGGCCCUCUGGAUGAGAACCAUGGCUGUAGGGGAUGUCUUCUGAAGAAACGGGCAAAGGAGGCCUUCUACAACAUAAAGAACAAAAUAAGGGAAAGGGUAAAUGCAGUUGCAUUUAUUAAGAUAAAUUAAUUUGAUGUGGCAUGGGGGGUGGUGUGUAAAGUGAGCUAAUACAAAAUGAUGCUGGAUACAGAUCAUGGAUGUAUACACAGUGGAGAGCUGGUUUUAUUUGGGAGGCAAUGGGAGCUUUUACAUUGUUGAGCAAAGGAGUGACGAGAUCAGUCUUGCUUUUUAGAAAGAUUAGUUUGGCAGUUACUUAUUUGUAACCAGAAUUAGACGGCAAAUAGGAUGCGGGGGAGAAGUCAGGUGACUAUUAAAGUAGUCUGAGAAGUUAAUUCUGGACAAGAGCAGUGGUAAUGGAACUAAAAAGGAUCACAGGUUUUAGCAAUAAAUCCAACGCGAGGAAGGGGAACUCAAGAUGCCAUUUUAAAUUUGAGAGUGGUAGUACCAUUAAAAACUAAUGAAUUUUGAUUAACUAGGGCUUCAGGCCCUUUGAAAUUAAGUUGAAUUUUGGUUCUUUCUGAGCAAUACACCAGAUUUCUAGACAAACACUUAAGGUAUGUUUUUAGACAUCUAUUUAGUGCCUAUUACAGCAUGGUGUUAGCUUCCGAAGAGACAAGAAUGACAAAAAUAGUCUUACCAUUAAUGGCAUUGUGAGAGGUCUAGCAGUAACUUGUUUAUCCUAUGCCUUGAUCCACCCUUUCUCAUUUCCUUAUUAAGCACACAAUACUGAGACCAGAAUAAAGCAGUACAUUUACUACCUUGUGAAGAAUGUUCAGGUGUUCAGGUGUGUUAUCUUCAUUUUGUGCUGCUUUAACAGAAUACAGGAGACUGGGUAAUUUGUAAAGAACAGAAAUGUAUUUCUCACAGUUCUGGAGGAUGGGAAGUUAAGAUCAAGGAGCUGGCACUUGUUGACUAGGGCUUUCCUGCUGUGUUCUCACAUAAAGAAGGCAAGCUAGCAGGAUGCUCCCUGAAGCCUCUUUUAUUAAGGGCCUUCAUCCCAGUCCUGAGAGAAUCCCUCAUGGCCUAGUGAUCUCUUAAAGGGCCCACCUCUUGAUGCUGUCACACUGGCAACACCUGAAUUUGAGGGGACACAUUCAAGCCACAGCAAACUGAACAUUUCUCCCAUGCCAGAUAGCACCAUGUUCUUUGUCAGUAGGUGUUGGUAGAGGGGCACUGCAGAAUAAAGGGGCUUCUCUCUUGCUUCUAAGACGAUACUGUGACAGUUAAUUUUAUGUGUCAACUUGGCUAGGCCACAGGGUGCCUAGCUACUGGGUCAUACUUUUUUUUUUUAAGAGAUUUAACUUCUGCUCUGAGUUUCCAAUUAUAAGCUCAAACAUUAUGCUAGGUGUUUCUGUGAGGGUGUUUUUACAUGAGAUUGACAUUUAAAUCAGUGAACUUUGAGUAAUGCAGACUGCCCUCCUCAAUGUUAGUGGGCUUGAUCCAGUCAGGUGAAGGUCU